rnacentral:lncRNA from 1 species
UUAUCCGCUCACAAUAAGCCUCAGCAUUUUACCGGACAGCACUCCACAAGUGCAAUGAUUCAGAUUCAACCUCAGUCUAAGUUGUCUCAACCGGUCCAACAACCUGACCAAGUCCGCCGGAUGCCCCUCUCCUGUUUGGGACUUUGCUAUCAUGUCAUCAACAUAGCAUUCCAUUUCAUGAUGAAUCAUAUCAUGAAACAAAGUCACCAUAGUCCUCUGAUACAUGGCACCGACAUUC